rnacentral:tRNA from 1 species
GUCCCCGUCGUCUAGAGGCCUAGGACACCACCCUUUCACGGUGAAAACACGGGUUCGACUCCCGUCGGGGAUGCCA